rnacentral:rRNA from 1 species
GUUGAACGCUGGCGGCAGGCUUAACACAUGCAAGUCGAGCGGGGACUUCGGUCCUAGCGGCGAACGGGUGAGGAAUGCUUGGGAAUCUGCCCAGUAGCGGGGGAUAACGUUUCGAAAGGAACGCUAAUACCGCAUACGCCCUACGGGGGAAAGGGGGGGAUCUUCGGACCUCUCACUAUUGGAUGAGCCCAAGUCGGAUUAGCUAGUUGGUGGGGUAAAGGCCUACCAAGGCGACGAUCCGUAGCUGGUCUGAGAGGAUGAUCAGCCACACUGGAACUGAGACACGGUCCAGACUCCUACGGGAGGCAGCAGUGGGGAAUAUUGGACAAUGGGCGAAAGCCUGAUCCAGCCAUGCCGCGUGUGUGAAGAAGGCCUUCGGGUUGUAAAGCACUUUAAGCGAGGAGGAAUGGCUCUUGAUUAAUAACCUUGAGCAGUGACGUUACUCGCAGAAUAAGCACCGGCUAACUCUGUGCCAGCAGCCGCUGUAACAC